rnacentral:misc_RNA from 1 species
CGACAAUAUAUCGCUGGACUCCGUAAGCACAGUGGUGGAGCAAGAUGACAUUGGUCAGGAGACCUAGAUACCUGUCUGUAUGUAAUCUGACCUUGAAGUGGGUGGACAGCUACCUGUACCACGUCUGUAUUUAAUCAGGGCAAGCAGUGAGUGGGACAGAGAUGUGUGGCUGUGUAGCAUAGACCGCCAUUUAUGUAUUAAAGAUGUGCUGUAUUUUAGGAAUACCAUGUAAUGUGUAUAUAUUAAAAGUAUUUAUAUUUUCUGAUUUGUUCUUGUAUGAUUGCAUGUAAUAUGUACUUUUUCACAUUGACUCUGGCUAAAAUCAUUUUUUUUUCAUAGCAUUUUCUUCUUUCUUUUUUUUUGCAAUAUUGAAAAGGGGGAUUCAUUUUCAACUUAAAUUAAAACAUUCAAAUGGCUUUUUCCCUUGGCAUAUCUUGCAAAUAAUUUGAAAAAAAAAAUGUCUUUUUCAUUACUGCUAUAUUUUGAAAUUUUUUGCCUGAUCUGAAAUUUUGUUUUGGCCUUAUAUGUACCUUUAUAUAUGGUGUUUAUUAGGCUAGCUUUAUUGCAAUAAACAUUGUAAAU